CUGAUUAAAUUAAACAUCAUCUAAGUUCCUGGUCAGCAAAGUUCGAAAAAGGCUGACCAUCAGUUGGAUUUCGAAUUAGACUGACCAGGUUGGUCAGUGAUAAGAAAUACAUGUUUCUAAUUACACUAUGUCUUUAAGAUUCACACAUGAUCAAAUGUAUCCAUCUAUUGUAAGAUUUAUGCAUUAAAAGGACUUAAAAAAACAUUUUAUUUCCGUAUUAAACAUCAGGUUGCUCAGCGAAAAGAAAUACCUGUUUCUGGUUAAUUUCAAGUCAAUAGUAUUCUAUUUAUAGUGUUAUCAUUCUGUUAUGUUUAUAGGAAAUAAAAUAAAAUCAUACAUUCAAGAAAAGAAACAGGCUGACCAGUACAUGAAUAAAAUGAUUGCUUUAGGUUAAUGCUAUUUUGAACAUGAUUUACAUAUCUAUAUAACUUCAUAAUUCAACCUUAUUUGUACCCAAAUGAACACAAUUUCAUGGGCCGAAUGCAAUAGGCCAAAUCGACAUAAGAGUGUUAAUGUUAAUCGUGACAGUUUUAUUAGGUCCAAGUGACAAAUUCUCGCUUGAAUGAUCAUAAUGGAAGGGAUUGCAAUAUUUAUCAUACUUAUUGGGCAGAUUCAUAACUUAUUUCAUUAUUCAUUAAAUACCAGUUAGUAUGUGACCUAAUUCAAAUUUAACAAUUUUAAAAACAUACCUUUAAAUAACCAAACAGUAAAUGACAUGUCAGCACUGGACACUGAGUUAAACCAUUUAUGCAUUUUGUCUAAGAAUGUCCAACUGUUAAAGCCGUAAUGAUUUUUUUAAAACUUGAAGUCAAAGGUUAAACACACAAAUACUGAACUGUCUAAAAAUCAACUAAACAGAAAUCCAAGCAAAUUUAUAAAUGAAUUCACAAUUAGAUCCAAAUCACAUGACACAAUUUAUCUAGAGCAAUACCUGAGUUUUCACUUUUUUUUUGAAUACUUGAAAAUUUAAUAAUAAAAAUUCAGAAGUAUUGAAAUAUAUUUACUAAUCUUAAUUACUCAUAAACAACGGUUGGCAUAUCUUGUAUUAAGGCAAAGUUCACAAUUAUAAAAAUUGUUUAAAUCUUAUAUUGACUUAAUAACGCCAAUAACGCUUGGUUAUAACAAAGAAAAACUUUGACAGUAUCUUAUCAAUUAUCCACACUCUCACCAAACCAGUACCAUGCAUUAGUCACUUUUAUUUAGGGGCUUAUUUCGUUUUUUUUUUCAUUUACUCAUAUUUACAGUGCUGUACAAAGUUAUACAAAAUUAGACAUUAUUAACAUCAAAAGUUACCUAUGAGUUAUUUAUUCAACAAAAAGAAAAAUGAUAAAGAAUUUAAUUAAUACGUCGACUUGAAUUAUUGUAUUUUUCAAUAUAAAAUCACUAUUUUAUAACAUUUUUUCUUAAAAUACAUAUAAAUAUACAAUAUUCGUAGUGGAUAGGUACAUAAUUAAACAUAAAACUUAAAAAUAAUAAUAUCAAAAUCUUUUCAAAUCCAUUUUUAUUUUACUGGUCAGCCUUUUCUGGCCUGGUCAGCCUUUUCCCUGUAUAUUUUUAUGGUCAGCGCUCUGGUCAGUCUUUUAGUAUUGCCCAUAUAUAUAUAUAUAUAUACAUAUAUGAUAUUAGGCAAUGUAAACAUCAGAUCAGAGCUGCAAAUAACUUUUUAUGUAAACUUUGUUGUACGCCCUUAUGUAAUUUCGCGAUUUGAAGUGUUCAUGUUACUUUCAUUCACUUAAGUAUAAUGUUGUAAAGGCUUCCAUGACUAAAAUUGUCGCUUUUUGUAAUUCUGACGUCUCACAUAAACUGAGGGGUAUGAGCAAACAGAAGUCAAUGAGGCAGGCCAUGCUACUUAAGUAAACAAAACUGUGUUUAACCAUUUUAUAUUUGAUAUAAUUUAUUUGUAGGUGUAUAUGAACAUUUAUUGUUUGUUACUCAUCAGGGCUUUGUUCAGCUGUUAUUAGCCAUUAUUUAUUUCUAUUCAUAAUGCCAAAAAGUUUAUAUUUUUUACAAUAUGAAGCUUAAGAAAAAAGAAGGUUUAAUUUGAUCCUUAAUUGACACAAAAAGAUACUUUCAGUUUUAAAUAGCAAUUUUAACUUUCUUUGUAUACUACAAAUUUGAAGUAAAGCAUUAUACAGUGCACAUAAUAUAUAAGUAUUGCUUUCAGAACCAAGAUGAACAGAGAAAGCAAGCUACCGAGGCAGUUACAAGAAUGGACAACGCAAGAAAUACACUUCAACUUACAGUCUUCCCAUUCAGCAGUGUUAUAUCCAGAGAUGUUAAAAGUGCUGUGUAAAGGGCAAGGAGCUGCAAUUUGGCAAUGGGUGGCACAACAUGUCAAGUCUACAGAAGCGGUAGUACCAGGAUAAUGAGGAAGCCAUCGACAACUACCGUCAUACGUCUGCCCUCCUGAUGAAAUCUGCUGACACCGCUUCACAGUAUCCGGAAUAUUUGGGUUGUCUCCUCACCAGGACAGCUGUCAUCAAAGCCAGGGCAUAGAAAGGCUUGGAGACAGAAGAGUAUUAUAGUCGAGAGGCAGCAGGUGGAGAUAGUGAAGGGGAGGAAACAGAGGGAAAGACACCUGCAAUGGAGACUGCUUCCAUGGAAAGGCGGAGGAGUAUUAUAGUCAAGAGGCAGCAGGUGGAAAACUUGACAGAGAGGAAGAAACUAAGUGAAAUACGUCUGCUUGAGAUUUCUUUCAUGGUUCAAGUUUGAUGGUGGAGAAGUGAGGGAUCUGGCAAGCUGGCCGUCUUGUGCAAGAGUGUAAAUCAGUUAUUGCAGUUUGAAGAGGCUUUACUACAGCAAUGAGCAUAGGCAUUGGCAUCCAGUUUAAGUUUUAGGGCAGGAAAGGCUUGGAGAAGGAGGAGUAUCAUAGGCAAGAGGCAGCAGGUGGAGAUAGUGAUGGGGAGGAGGAAACAGAAGUAAAGACACCUGCACUGGAGAUUGCUUCCAUGAAACAUGUACGAGAGAGCUGUUCAGAGAUUGGUACAUUUCUACAAGACACAUUGAUUGGAGCCUUCGCGAACGAUAAGGCAUUUUUGUUCAAGUAUGAUGGUGAAGAAGUCAUGGAUCUGGCCAGACAGCUGUCCUUAUACAAGAGUCUACAUCAGUUUUUGCAGGUCGAUUUCAGGCCAAGAGUUUGUUUAGAUUUAUGUAGAAAGGGAUGUUACUCACGUCGUAUCGAUCGAGUGUAUACGGGUUAAAACGGCAAUUGAGGAUCGGGAUACGGUAUAUCGAGAGGAACAAGGAACAUUUCCUCAGUUUCGUCCAGUGUCAGAAGUCUGUCAACGAUGCUCGGAAUUUAGAGCAGUCUGUUUCCAUGGUGAAGUCACACAUUGAGAAGAAACUCCACAAGCUUUUCUCACAGAAGUCCACAGACCUGAAACUGGCCAGGCUCCAGUGUGUAUCCUGUCCAAAUACCGGAUGAUAUACAAUGUAGGGGACAUUCUACACAGGAUAAAAAGGGAAGCAAAUCUAGCCUCUAGAACAACAGAAGAAAAUGUGGUCACCUAUAUCUCAGAUUUAUGUGAUCGUGCACGUGAGAGUGACAGUCAACAGUUACGACAGACAUUACCAUGGUUACAGGAGAUUUCCUGCACCAACCAGGCCCUAGACAACUGUACACAUGCCAGGCAGGCAGCGGACGACUGGUGGGUGGAGCCCAGCCAGAAGUGUGUUCUCUGGAUGACUGUAGAUGACCAAACCUUACACCAGUACAUGGACAGAUGAACAGUCCUAGUGACCAGUCUUAGACAACAACUUCUACUCAGCCAGUGAGGGAGACCAACUAUCACAUAGACAGAUUUCAUAUACAAUGAAACAAUUACAGGCAGUUGCUGUUUGGGACAUUUAAGUAAAGUCCAACCGUCUACCGGACUGCAAAAUUCAUCUCUUCCAUAGGAUAUCAUAGCUUUCCAGAUACUCCAUGUAGUGUGUGGGCGGAAAUGCAGAGUGGUAUCACCAGUCACCACAGCCACCUUUCCCCUCACAGACAAGAGGCUCGUGCGGACACUCCCUGCAGUUUAAAGCAAAGUUCUCAAUUGUACCCCUACAAACUUCAGGACCUCUUUCUUGGGUGGAUGGAUUCAAAGAUGACCACAGAAUUGCGACCAUGGGUGUGUCACAUGGACGUUAUAGAUAGUGACUGUAAAGAAAUAAUGAUGACAGAAAAAUAAAACUCUUGAUAUGGCUUCUGGUGUUAAAUCAACAGACAAAGUGUGGGAAAAUAGUGUCAAAGUUGAAAUCUCUUCUGCAAAGAGAUUUUGCCACUAAAGUGGUAAACUGGAGUAAUUUUAAAUAUAAGAAAGAAGAAAAUCUCGUUGUGAGCGGACACCUUUUCAUAGAUGGCUCUGCCCUCUGUGCAUGUGUGAAACAACUAAAAUUGUAAAGGGUGCCAUUUAAUGAAGGCAGUAGAAGCUUACGUCAUGAACCUGAAUUUGAAAAUAGAUGUGUAAUCUAUUAAUUAACUUAUUAAAAUAUGUAAUUGACCAUAUUUCCCAUUUGAGUGGAAUACUGAUUUGGUCAGCACUGGUCACAGAGGCACUUGUCAUGUACAUGUGCUUCCAAGAUUGACAUUAAAUGUCAAGUUUAAUAGUAGUUAUUAAACACAAAAGCCCUUUUCCAAACAUAUAAGCUGUUAUUGAUUUACAUUUUAAAGGAGCUUGAUAGUUUAACCCUAAAUGGAGUGUAACAUUGAUCUUGAUGGUAUGCUGUUGUUGAGCAGGCAUAUGGUUUAGCUUGUAAAGGAGAGCACUUGAUGCUUUACCCGUAAAUGAAGUGUAACAUUGACCUUGAUGGUACCUGGCUGGACAAUUAAAACUCUAAACGUCAUUUCGCUGUGGUUAGGAAUGUUCAGUGGUAUUUUAUAAUCCUUAAUUCAUUCGUGCCUGUUAAAGAGUUAUACAAGCUGAUACGAACAGUACCCUGACCUGUAGUAACCUUACGGGGAGCACAUACAAGCUUACAAACAUUUGAAAUGGGACUAAAAUGGAAACAUAUUUAAGGAUCGGCGUAGUUUGAGUUUUGUCCCUUUAAAGAUGACGCUAAAUAUAUGUGUACAUUAUCCAGUACAAUUUGUAUCAGGGGACCAUGACAAAAUACAUGACAUCAACUCUUUUAUUCAUUCUCUUUAAUCGAAAUGACAAGGUGCAUUGUAAACCUUAACUCAACCCUACUUUUUUGUGUUAAAUAAUGUUGUAAUACAUAAUACGGUUAUGACCAUGUUUGACCAAAUGAUCAAUUGUAUUCACAUUCACUCUUUUGAGCUAACCCCUGUAAUACAAUUUGAGUUUAUACUUGUUCGUUUGUCAAUUUGAGGUGAUUUAUAAUGUUUUAACUUCCUGAUUUAAAGUGCUUCUUUUGUACUACUUCAAUAUUGACAGGUCAUGCGCUUGAUUUAAGAGAUUAUUUCAACUGCUUUAAGUGUCAUUGGUAAACUUCCUGCUUUCUACAAAUGGUAAAAAUAUAAAAGGGGGAAACCUAAAUACAUAAGACCUAUUGACACCAUUUUUCUUAAAUAAUCGGUGCAAUAAAAAGGAAGAGUUUCAAUUAAUAUUAUUAGUACGACAUAAUAUUGACUUUAUGCUGGUGCACUCCGCUUAUCAUAUCGAUACUAUUGUUAUAAAAAAUGUAUAUUUAAAUUAUUUUUGUAUAUAUAUAUCCAUCAUGUUAAUAAA